rnacentral:rRNA from 1 species
GACGAACGCUGGCGGCGUGCUUAACACAUGCAAGUCGAACGGAAAGGCCCUGCUUUUGUGGGGUGCUCGAGUGGCGAACGGGUGAGUAACACGUGAGUAACCUGCCCUUGACUUUGGUAUAACUUCAGGAAACUGGGGCUACUACCGGAUAGGAGCUCCUGCUGCAUGGUGGGGGUUGGAAAGUUUCGGCGGUUGGGGAUGGACUCGCGGCUUAUCAGCUUGUUGGUGGGGUAGUGGCUUACCAAGGCUUUGACGGGUAGCCGGCCUGAGAGGGUGACCGGCCACAUUGGGACUGAGAUACGGCCCAGACUCCUACGGGAGGCAGCAGUGGGGAAUAUUGCACAAUGGGCGGAAGCCUGAUGCAGCAACGCCGCGUGCGGGAUGACGGCCUGCGGGUUGUAAACCGCUUUCGCCUGUGACGAAGCGUGAGUGACGGUAAUGGGUAAAGAAGCACCGGCUAACUACGUG